UACAGAGGUCUCAAGCGUUGUUCGGAUUCAUUGGGCGUAAAGGGUGCGUAGGCGGCGCGGUAAGUCGGGUGUGAAAUCUCGGAGCUUAACUCCGAAACUGCAUUCGAUACUGCCGUGCUUGAGGACUGGAGAGGAGACUGGAAUUUACGGUGUAGCGGUGAAAUGCGCAGAUAUCAGGAGGAACACCAAUGGCGAAGGCAGCUCGCUGGAACGGUACUGACGCUGAGGCGCGAAAGCGUGGGGAGCAAACAGG
rnacentral:rRNA from 1 species